CUUAUGUCUGUGUCGUCAACAUUUGAACAUUUUUGAGCGGUCCGCUCUUUCUGACUGUAAACAAAGCCGUUCUCCACCUCCUCUAACCUGAUUGGUUGUGAGGCAGACGCUGCUCCCCCGUGUCGUUCAGGAGCCCAAACAAAGUUAGCGUGCUACAAUAUCGGACAGUAGAAACCAACCAGAAAGUUCGGAAAAUUGUCUGAAUCCUCCUUUGGCCACGACUGCCGACACAAGCAAGAAAACACUCAAACAUAAACAGUCAACAAGAAAACAGUCAGCAAGAAAACAGUCAACACCAAACCAGUCAACAGGAAAACGGUCAAUACCAAAACAGUCAGCAAGAAAACAGUCAACAAGAAAACAGUCAACAAGAAAACAGUCAGCAAGAAAACAGUCAACAAGAAAACAGUCAACAAGAAAACAGUCAGCAAGAAAACAGUCAACAAGAAAACAGUCAGCAAAAAACAGUCAACAAGAAAACAGUCAACAAGAAAACAGUCAGCAAAAAACAGUCAACAAGAAAACAGUCAACACCAAAACAGUCAACAAAAAACAGUCAGCAAGAAAACAGUCAAUCAUAAUCAGUCAACAAGAAAACAGUCAGCAAAAAACAGUCAACCAUAAACAGUCAACACCAAAACAGUCAGCAAGAAAACAGUCAACCAUAAUCAGUCUACAAGAAAACAGUCAACAAGAAAACAGUCAA